rnacentral:rRNA from 1 species
UACGAAGGGGGCAAGCGUUGUCCGGAAUCAUUGGGCGUAAAGAGCGUGUAGGUGGCCCGAUAAGUCCGCUGUGAAAGUCCAGGGCUCAACCCUGGGAUGCCGGUGGAUACUGUCGGGCUCGAGUCCGGAAGAGGAGUGUGGAAUUCCUGGUGUAGCGGUGAAAUGCGCAGAUAUCAGGAGGAACACCAAUGGCGAAGGCAGCACUCUGGGACGUGACUGACGCUGAGACGCGAAAGCGUGGGGAGCAAACAGG